AUUGAACGCUGGCGGCAGGCCUAACACAUGCAAGUCGAGCGGAGCGGAGGACGGGUGAGUAAUGCCUAGGAAUCUGCCUGGUAGUGGGGGAUAACGUCCGGAAACGGGCGCUAAUACCGCAUACUAUCAGAUGAGCCUAUGUCGGAUUAGCUAGUUGGAGGGGUAAAGGCCUACCAAGGCGACGAUCCGUAACUGGUCUGAGAGGCUGAUCAGUCACACUGGAACUGAGACACGGCCCAGACUCCUACGGGAGGCAGCAGUAGGGAAUAUUGGACAAUGGGCGAAAGCCUGAUCCAGCCAUGCCGCGUGAGUGAAGAAGGUCUUCGGAUUGUAAAGCACUUUAGUUGGGGAGGCGUUACCCACCGAAAAAGCACCGGCUAACUACGUGCCAGCAGCCGCGGUAAUAC
rnacentral:rRNA from 1 species